CCUGAGAAACCCAAAAGAUCGAAUGGGGAGAUUCACCCUCAGCGGCUCCGGCUUCCGUGCGGCGCGCGAUGGCGGGGACUUCGGUCUCGCGUCACGCCGUCGCUGCGGUACGUCCGGGGUCGUCGUCGUGCACUUCUCCCCUAGUAGGACGUCGCGACCCGUUGGGUGUCGGAUCGAUGGCCGGUCGGUCGUCUGUUGCGCUCGCGCGCUUCAGACCGAUUCGGUCGAAAGUCCGGCUGCCCGGCGGUAUUGAACGUUUUGAACUCUGGUAUCGAGCCGCAUUCGAAUGCGUUCCGGCUCGUCGGCAGGCUCGUCUCGCUCGGAUUUACGGACCUAGCGCCGUUGCCGGGCGCUUGGCGCGGCCGUUAGUCGACGAUGACCUCGAACAGGCUCUUACUACCGGUCGGCGACGCUACUGCUUUGGGUACUUUC
rnacentral:rRNA from 1 species